GAUGAACGCUAGCGGGAGGCCUAACACAUGCAAGCCGAGCGGUAUUUGUUCUUCUGCACAGCGAGAGCGGCGCACGGGUGCGGAACACGCGUGCAACCUGCCUUUAUCUGGGGGAUAGCCUUUCGAAAGGAAGAUUAAUACCCCAUAAUAUAUUGAGUGGCAUCAUUUGAUAUUGUAAAAUCCGGUGGAUAGAGAUGGGCACGCGCCAGAUUAGAUAGUUGGUGAGGUAACGGCUCACCAAGUCAAUGAUCUUUGGGGGGCCUGAGAGGGUGAUCCCCCACACUGGUACUGCGACACGGACCAGACUCCUACGGGAGGCAGCAGUGAGGAAUAUUGGACAAUGGGUUAGCGCCUGAUCCAGCCAUGCCGCGUGAAGGACGACGGCGCUAGGGGUGGUAAACUUCUUUUGUAUAGGGAUAGACCUACUCUCGUGAGAGUAGCUGAAGGUACUAUACGAAUAAGCACCGGCUAACUCCGUG
rnacentral:rRNA from 1 species